rnacentral:rRNA from 1 species
GACGUAGGGCGCGAGCGUUGUCCGGAUUUAUUGGGCGUAAAGAGCGUGUAGGCGGCUAGAUAGGUCCGUUGUGAAAACUCGAGGCUCAACCUCGAGACGUCGAUGGAAACCAUCUGGCUAGAGUCCGGAAGAGGAGAGUGGAAUUCCUGGUGUAGCGGUGAAAUGCGCAGAUAUCAGGAAGAACACCCGUGGCGAAGGCGGCUCUCUGGUACGUGACUGACGCUGAGACGCGAAAGCGUGGGGAGCAAACAGG